rnacentral:rRNA from 1 species
GGCGAACGGGUGAGUAAUACAUAAGUAACCUGCCCUAGACAGGGGGAUAACUACUGGAAACGGUAGCUAACACCGCAUAGGUGUGGAAGUCGCAUGACUUUCAUAUUAAAAGUGCUUUGGCACUGGUAAAGGAUGGACUUAUGGCGCAUUAGCUAGUUGGUAAGGUAAAGGCUUACCAAGGCGACGAUGCGUAGCCGACCUGAGAGGGUGACCGGCCACACUGGGACUGAGACACGGCCCAG